GACGAGGUGACCGAGCGGUUAAGGCGAUAGACUGCUAAUAUAUUGGGCUCUGACCACGUGGGUUCGAAUCCCAUUCUCGUCG
rnacentral:tRNA from 1 species